UAAUAAAAAUAAAAGUAUUAGAAUUUUUCAAAUUUUAAGCAAUAAAGCGGAGGAUCGUUCGCUUACUAAAUGUAAACUAAAUAUUAUUUUCAAUACUUGAAUUGAAACGGUAAUAAUAUGGGAACCACAUCACGGAUUAUGUCAAAAAAAUAUUAUUUGAGUUCCAUUUAUACUAUCUCGAACAAAUGCACAAUUACACUACUUCGAACAAAUGCGUAGAUGAUCUCUGCAGUUAUGUUAUUUUUUUCCAGUAGAUGGAAAUAGUGAUUCUAAUUCACAAUAAAUGAAUUUUGUGUUUUUGGAGUUAUUUUGACAAUUCAAUUAUCAAUAAAUAUUGGACGCUAUUGGAAAUUUAUUUUUUAUUGAUAUAUCAGAAUGGUCAAUUCGAAAAAUUUGAACGGAAUGGUGUACAAAAUGGCAAAUUUGUGAUACUAUUUUUGAUCAUAUACAUAUAUUGUAUAUCAUUUAAUGAUGUAGUAAUAAAAUUGGAGUUAUAAAUGAUCUCGAUGGUUGAUAAUGCGGGUAUUUAAAUUCGGUUAAUUUGGAAAAUCAUAUACUAGUAACAUUAUUUACGCAUAUUUGAUUAUCAGAAACAUAUAUACCAUAAAAAAUAUUGUUUAAAGACCAUGAAUUGGAAUUCUGAGGGAAGGCUAGUUGAGAUUACAACGAACUCAUAAAACUUUCAACAAUUGCAGUACGUCUACCUGCGUUUUACAACUUCACUUAAAUAAAUUUAUGAAUUACAUUUUAUUUAAUAUUUAUUCAUGUUUUAAAGUAAAGUUUAACAUUCAUGUGAAAUUAUUAAAACAAUAUUAAUUUGUUAAAAUUUAAACACA